UAUGCUAUUUGGAUACCAGGUGAUUUUCCCCCCCUUUCGGGUCUAUUUAAAGUGGGUUUUUCAUCUGGGUAUGAAUUUUUCCUUGAAUUUCUGAGCGAUUAUUCGAAGAAGCUAGAAAUUGUUUUCAUACAACACUUAUGUUAUUUGAUUUUGACAUUGAAUCUUCAAAAUUGCUUUCUUAAUUGCCUUGGGAACAGAAUAGCAAGGAAGUAGUCGAAACCCGAAAUCAGCCUUAUCUUCUGCGUAGGUUUAACUUUGUCCUUUAAAUAUAACCCUUAGCACUAUUUGUCCUUUUAAAUUUACAAAUUUUGAUCACUUUUAGUCUCACUAACAGAAAAUCAUAACUUCAAUUAAAAAACUAACAGAAUAUUCUUUAUAAAAUGUGUAAUGCUAAAAAAGUUUCAAACUGCAAGUGUAUCAGCACUUCAGCGGCAAAAAUCAGCACUUCAGCAGCAAAAAUCAGCAUUCCAGCAGUAGAAAAGCAUUCAAAGUGCAAAGCUAUCUGCAUUUCAGCGGCCAAAAUCAGCAUUUCAGCAACAAAAUCAGCAUUUCAGCAGCAAAAUCAGUAUUUCUGUGGGAAAAAUACAGCAUUCCAGCAUUUCAAUAGCUAAAAUAUCAGCAUUUUAGCAGCAAAUCAACAUUUCAACAGCGAAAAUCAGCAGAUCAACAGCAAAAAUUCAGCAUUUCAGCGGCAAACGUACUCAUUCCAACAUUUCAACAGCAAAAUAUCACCAUUUCAGCAACAAAAUAUCAACAUUUCAGCAGCA
rnacentral:lncRNA from 1 species